rnacentral:rRNA from 1 species
GAUGAACGCUGGCGGCGUGCCUAAUACAUGCAAGUCGAGCGAACAGACGAGGAGCUUGCUCCUCUGACGUUAGCGGCGGACGGGUGAGUAACACGUGGAUAACCUACCUAUAAGACUGGGAUAACUUCGGGAAACCGGAGCUAAUACCGGAUAAUAUAUUGAACCGCAUGGUUCAAUAGUGAAAGACGGUUUUGCUGUCACUUAUAGAUGGAUCCGCGCCGCAUUAGCUAGUUGGUAAGGUAACGGCUUACCAAGGCAACGAUGCGUAGCCGACCUGAGAGGGGGGUCGGCCACACUGGAACUGAGACACGGUCCAGACUCCUACGGGAGGCAGCAGUAGGGAAUCUUCCGCAAUGGGGGAAAGCCUGACGGAGCAACGCCGCGUGAGUGAUGAAGGUCUUCGGAUCGUAAAACUCUGUUAUUAGGGAAGAACAAAUGUGUAAGUAACUAUGCACGUCUUGACGGUACCUAAUCAGAAAGCCACGGCUAACUACGUG